GGCUGCGGCUUCUCGUCGGACGUCCUCCUUCUGCUCCGUCGGGCGGCAGAGCCUGGGACAGCCAUCAGCUGCUGCGGGCUGCCGUGCGGGAAGGCUACGAAGAGGAGGCUGGAGAGCUGCUCUCUGAGGGGAAGAAACCUGGACCCCAUGUGGAUCCAGGGUACAGAAGCCUUUCUCCUGCCUCUCUAGACACCUGAAGGGCCAUGCUCCUGUGAGGAGCAGGCUUAAAUGCCUCCAAGAGACUGCCUCUUGAUGUAACGUGAACCUCAUCAUCCUUCUCUGUGGGCUGGCACCCACAAAGGCAGGUCCAGGUUUUGGUACCUUCCUGAUUUUCCACAAAGGUGCAAGAAAUAAACGUCACUUGCUGACUUUCA